GGGUUGUGAGGUUAAGCGACUAAGCGUACACGGUGGAUGCCCUGGCAGUCAGAGGCGAUGAAGGGCGUGCUAAUCUGCGAUAAGCGCCGGUAAGGUGAUAUGAACCGUUAUAACCGGCGAUACCCGAAUGGGGAAACCCAGUGUGACUCGUCACACUAUCAUUAACUGAAUCCAUAGGUUAAUGAGGCGAACCGGGGGAACUGAAACAUCUAAGUACCCCGAGGAAAAGAAAUCAACCGAGAUUCCCCCAGUAGCGGCGAGCGAACGGGGAGGAGCCCAGAGCCUGAAUCAGCAUGUGUGUUAGUGGAAGCGUCUGGAAAGGCGCGCGAUACAGGGUGACAGCCCCGUACACAAAAGCGCAUGUGUUGUGAGCUCGAUGAGUAGGGCGGGACACGUGGUAUCCUGUCUGAAUAUGGGGGGACCAUCCUCCAAGGCUAAAUACUCCUGACUGACCGAUAGUGAACCAGUACCGUGAGGGAAAGGCGAAAAGAACCCCGGCGAGGGGAGUGAAAAAGAACCUGAAACCGUGUACGUACAAGCAGUGGGAGCACAGGUUUACCUGUGUGACUGCGUACCUUUUGUAUAAUGGGUCAGCGACUUAUAUUCUGUAGCAAGGUUAACCGUAUAGGGGAGCCGUAGGGAAACCGAGUCUUAACCGGGCGUUAAGUUGCAGGGUAUAGACCCGAAACCCGGUGAUCUAGCCAUGGGCAGGUUGAAGGUUGGGUAACACUAACUGGAGGACCGAACCGACUAAUGUUGAAAAAUUAGCGGAUGACCUGUGGCUGGGGGUGAAAGGCCAAUCAAACCGGGAGAUAGCUGGUUCUCCCCGAAAGCUAUUUAGGUAGCGCCUCGUGAAUUCAUCUUCGGGGGUAGAGCACUGUUUCGGCUAGGGGGCCAUCCCGGCUUACCAACCCGAUGCAAACUGCGAAUACCGGAGAAUGUUAUCACGGGAGACACACGGCGGGUGCUAACGUCCGUCGUGAAGAGGGAAACAACCCAGACCGCCAGCUAAGGUCCCAAAGUCAUGGUUAAGUGGGAAACGAUGUGGGAAGGCCCAGACAGCCAGGAUGUUGGCUUAGAAGCAGCCAUCAUUUAAAGAAAGCGUAAUAGCUCACUGGUCGAGUCGGCCUGCGCGGAAGAUGUAACGGGGCUAAACCAUGCACCGAAGCUGCGGCAGCGAACGUAUCACUUAAAGCGAUUCAGCGGGUUACGAUUGACGGAGCGAAGCGACGUCAAAGCGUAUACAAAGUCGAGUCGGUUUAAGGAUACGUUCGUUGGGUAGGGGAGCGUUCUGUAAGCCUGUGAAGGUGGCCUGUGAGGGUUGCUGGAGGUAUCAGAAGUGCGAAUGCUGACAUAAGUAACGAUAAAGCGGGUGAAAAGCCCGCUCGCCGGAAGACCAAGGGUUCCUGUCCAACGUUAAUCGGGGCAGGGUGAGUCGACCCCUAAGGCGAGGCCGAAAGGCGUAGUCGAUGGGAAACGGGUUAAUAUUCCCGUACUUGGUGUUACUGCGAAGGGGGGACGGAGAAGGCUAUGUUGGCCGGGCGACGGUUGUCCCGGUUUAAGCGUGUAGGUGUGUGUUCCAGGUAAAUCCGGUUCACUUUAACACUGAGGCGUGAUGACGAGGCACUACGGUGCUGAAGCAACAAAUGCCCUGCUUCCAGGAAAAGCCUCUAAGCAUCAGGUAACAUCAAAUCGUACCCCAAACCGACACAGGUGGUCAGGUAGAGAAUACCAAGGCGCUUGAGAGAACUCGGGUGAAGGAACUAGGCAAAAUGGUGCCGUAACUUCGGGAGAAGGCACGCUGACACGUAGGUGAAGUGAUUUACUCAUGGAGCUGAAGUCAGUCGAAGAUACCAGCUGGCUGCAACUGUUUAUUAAAAACACAGCACUGUGCAAACACGAAAGUGGACGUAUACGGUGUGACGCCUGCCCGGUGCCGGAAGGUUAAUUGAUGGGGUCAGCGCAAGCGAAGCUCCUGAUCGAAGCCCCGGUAAACGGCGGCCGUAACUAUAACGGUCCUAAGGUAGCGAAAUUCCUUGUCGGGUAAGUUCCGACCUGCACGAAUGGCGUAAUGAUGGCCAGGCUGUCUCCACCCGAGACUCAGUGAAAUUGAACUCGCUGUGAAGAUGCAGUGUACCCGCGGCAAGACGGAAAGACCCCGUGAACCUUUACUAUAGCUUGACACUGAACAUUGAGCCUUGAUGUGUAGGAUAGGUGGGAGGCUUUGAAGUGUGGACGCCAGUCUGCAUGGAGCCGACCUUGAAAUACCACCCUUUAAUGUUUGAUGUUCUAACGUGGACCCGUGAUCCGGGUUGCGGACAGUGUCUGGUGGGUAGUUUGACUGGGGCGGUCUCCUCCUAAAGAGUAACGGAGGAGCACGAAGGUUGGCUAAUCCUGGUCGGACAUCAGGAGGUUAGUGCAAUGGCAUAAGCCAGCUUGACUGCGAGCGUGACGGCGCGAGCAGGUGCGAAAGCAGGUCAUAGUGAUCCGGUGGUUCUGAAUGGAAGGGCCAUCGCUCAACGGAUAAAAGGUACUCCGGGGAUAACAGGCUGAUACCGCCCAAGAGUUCAUAUCGACGGCGGUGUUUGGCACCUCGAUGUCGGCUCAUCACAUCCUGGGGCUGAAGUAGGUCCCAAGGGUAUGGCUGUUCGCCAUUUAAAGUGGUACGCGAGCUGGGUUUAGAACGUCGUGAGACAGUUCGGUCCCUAUCUGCCGUGGGCGCUGGAGAACUGAGGGGGGCUGCUCCUAGUACGAGAGGACCGGAGUGGACGCAUCACUGGUGUUCGGGUUGUCAUGCCAAUGGCACUGCCCGGUAGCUAAAUGCGGAAGAGAUAAGUGCUGAAAGCAUCUAAGCACGAAACUUGCCCCGAGAUGAGUUCUCCCUGAGACUUAAAGUCUCCUGAAGGAACGUUGAAGACGACGACGUUGAUAGGCCGGGUGUGUAAGCGCAGCGAUGCGUUGAGCUAACCGGUACUAAUGAACCGUGAGGCUUAACCUUACAACGCCGAAG
rnacentral:rRNA from 2 species